rnacentral:rRNA from 1 species
ACAGCAGCCGCCGCGGUAAAACGAAGGGUGCAAGCGUUAAUCGGAAUUACCGGGCGUAAAGCGUGCGUAGGCGGUGAGUUAAGUCUGCUGUGAAAUCCCCGGGCUCAACCUGGGAAUGGCAGUGGAUACUGGCUCGCUAGAGUGUGUCAGAGGAUGGUGGAAUUCCCGGUGUAGCGGUGAAAUGCGUAGAGAUCGGGAGGAACAUCAGUGGCGAAGGCGGCCAUCUGGGACAACACUGACGCUGAGGCACGAAAGCGUGGGGAGCAAACAGGAUUAGAUACCCGAGUAGUCCCUGUCUCUUAUAC